GAGAGAUGGCUGAGUUGGCCUAAGGCGCUCGCCUGGAAAGCGAGUAGACAGAUGACCUCUGUCUCGCGGGUUCGAAUCCCGCUCUCUCC
rnacentral:tRNA from 1 species